rnacentral:lncRNA from 1 species
UUCUAUAAUACACUUUCCCUUCUGAAGUGAAAAAAAAAAAAAUUCUGAAAAUACUGAAGCAAAUUGCCACCUGCUGGUCAAAAGUGGUUUUGCAGUUGAAAAACCGAACAACUGUAGUACUGCAGAACAUUUUACAUUACACACAAAAUUAUAGAAGAAAACGUUUCCUCAGCCUUUGGCACAAUUAAGUACAAAGCUGUAGUUUUGUUCCUCCCCAAAUAUGAUUAACUUUACAAGGAAUUGCAUGUAAUUUGGUUAAUACUGAUUAUGGGGCAAAGGGAAAAACCACAUUCUGUAAUUUGAAUGUUCUAUUUUGAUUCUUAAACACUUAAUAGUUGGAUUCCAGUUUGUCGUUUUGAAAAAUACAUAAAAUUAUACAUUAUAAAUAUAUAUUAUAUAUGGUCUAUAUAAAAUUGAAUUUGACCUAAAAUGGGACGGACAACUUCUUAAUCACUCCUUGUUAGGCACGGCCUUUCUCUCAUUUGAUUAACUGAAUCCUUUCUGGACAGGUUCUAAAAAUAUAUUUCAUAAUGUAUCAAAUUUAACACUUUCCUUAAAACUUAUUCAAUAUGAAAAAGCAUUCAGUGACUAUAAUUUUUGUACCUCACUACUAUAUAAAAAUAUGGCUUCUCAUAUUCUGUUUUGUUUUGUUAGUGUUUUCUUAGGCUUUGAAAGAAGGGCUGUCCCCAGUUAAAAGGUAUGGCAAAAGCACAGAAACCCGCUUGUGCAUGUUCUAGAACACUCUAUAGAAUCUCAACGCUUAAUAUAUCUCAUGGUGUAAUAUAAGUGAAGUGACUUAAAAUUGUUCCUUCUGUUUUCUCUCUGUGAAUAUAUCAUAUUGAUUAUCAUACAUAGAUUCGUUACAGAAUAUACAAUGGUCAAAACUGAAGACACAUAAAUACAAUUAUUAAGCAAUACCGAAGCAAGAGUCUGAUCGGAUACAGAGCCAACGUGGGCAGUUUGUCGAUUGGAUAUUGGCAACUGUUUUGGUUUUUCCUAAGGCUGGCUAUGCAAUAGAAUCGUUAAGAUCAAUGGCGAGGGUCUGAGUGCUCUACAUCUGUCAGUGGACUGAGUUUCUCUUGUGUUGCUUUUUAAAGUGUGAAAGAAGGAAAGGAAGUGUGUGUCAAUUGUCCAGCACGACUUUCCUGGUGCGGGCUGGAGAGGG